GAUUUCUGGCUUGAAACAUUUGGCCGGCCACGGUUUCGUGUGUUAGUGCUUUGUGUUCUGGCCAUCCUUCCAAUCGCUAUUCACCUAUCUUCAUUGAUUGGUGAGUGGUAUUGGAUCUUUUACUUUGAAAAAGUUAGAGUGUUUCAAGCAGGCUUUAUGCUAUGAAUACAUUAGCAUGGAAUAAUAAUUUAGGGCUUCGGUUCUAUUUUGUUGGUUUCUAGGACUGAAGUAGUGAUUGAUAGGGAUAGUUGGGGGUGCUAGUAUUCAGCGGCCAGAGGUGAAAUUCUCGGAUUCGCUGAAGACUAACUUACGCGAAAGCAUU
rnacentral:rRNA from 1 species